UGGCUGCGUACCCCAGAGGUCAAAAUUCA
rnacentral:piRNA from 1 species